GCCCCGAAAGUGGUCCGGAUGGGGUUGUACUGGAAGCCGCCGGCUUGGCUGCAGGAGCUGAAGUCCGCGUACGCCGAGGCCAGGCUGGAGGUGUCCAUGCCGGCCAUGCAGGACUCGUAGGCGGAGGAGUUGAGGGUGCAAACAAAUUGGAGCAGGUUCACAGAAGGACAAUGAGAGAGUCUACAUUUGGGAUCUGUCAUCGACAUCAUCAUCAUCACCAUCAUCAUUAUUAUUAUUGUUCAGAGGCAUAAGAAAAUAAAGUUGGUAUUUAAGGCGAAACACCCCGGAACAUGGGAAUGAAUCAAAUAUUAAACACCAGUGAGCAUUCCAGAGCAGCUUUCUUUUUGAUUGCUUUAUUUGCCGGAGACUGCUAAUGAUUCCCACUAGAGAUGACCGCAGUGUGAGGUAUCAGUUUAGAAAUGUCAUUUGGGCCCAAGCAGGCUCCAAUAUUUUCUGUCAUUUAUAAUUUUGAUAACCACAAGACUAAAGCUGGCCGUAGUCUCUACUAAGGGGCACACUUGAUAUAUUUGUAAUCCAAUUUAGUCUCUCAAAUGGAAAGAGCCACCAGCACAAUCAGUAAAUAAUUGCCGUGUUUUUUGAAAAAAUUGAAGCCAGUUGUUUAAAUACCUUUUAGUCACCUACUGUAUUUCAUGGCUUGUUGUGUUCUUUUUACAUUAGGUCACCAUCUUGUAUUCUGUAUAAAUGGGUAAUCAAAGUAAGACCUAUAUUUUUGAAAUUCCCUACCGGUAUUAGCAAACCAUCUUGUCCAUCUACUAAUGAAUGUGCUCUACAGUUGUUGUAAGCUAAUCUUUUCAACACAUUAAGAAAUCAGUGAGGAGAACCUAUUGGCUAUUUGUGAUAUUCUUUGUUCCAUGGUUACACCAGAGAUAUAAUAUAUUUGCACCUUUAAAAUAAGUUGAUGCAAUAAAGUCAUAUUACAAAAAACAUUCCAUUUUGUCUCAUUUUGAAAGUGAUAAUUCAGUCUCUAAGCUUAUUGGAAUCAUUAAUACUUGGCCUAGUCAGGGAUGAGUUUUUGAGCCUAAGAAGUGUUUGUUAAGAUAGAUACAGAUGCGAGUAGUUGGUUUGCAUGAUGUGGAAUAUACUAGUUUUCUCAUUAUUAUAGCACCAGAUCCUGUCCGAUUAUAGAAGCUAAGCAGUACCAGCACUGUUUCAUAAAAUAAGAAUAAAACGUUAUUUAUAUCCCCAAGUCCCCCUGGGGAGAGAGG